rnacentral:rRNA from 1 species
UACAGAGGGUGCGAGCGUUGUCCGGAAUCACUGGGCGUAAAGGGCGCGUAGGCGGCCCGGUAAGGUUGCGGUGAAAGCCCGGGGCUCAACCCCGGGUCGGCCGUCGAUACUCUCGUGCUUGAGCACUGUAGAGGCAGGUGGAAUUCCGGGUGUAGCGGUGGAAUGCGUAGAGAUCCGGAAGAACACCGGUGGCGAAGGCGGCCUGCUGGGCAGUAGCUGACACUGAGGCGCGACAGCGUGGGGAGCAAACAGG